UGGGGAAUAUUGGGCAAUGGGCGCAAGCCUGACCCAGCAAUGCCGCGUGAAGGAAGAAGGCCCUCGGGUUGUAAACUUCUUUUAUCAGGGACGAAGGAAGUGACGGUACCUGAUGAAUAAGCUCCGGCUAACUACGUGCCAGCAGCCGCGGUAAUACGUAGGGAGCAAGCGUUAUCCGGAUUUACUGGGUGUAAAGGGCGCGUAGGCGGGAUGGCAAGUCAGAUGUGAAAUCCAAGGGCUCAACCCUUGAACUGCAUUUGAAACUGUCGUUCUUGAGUACUGGAGAGGUUGACGGAAUUCCUAGUGUAGCGGUGAAAUGCGUAGAUAUUAGGAGGAACACCAGUGGCGAAGGCGGUCAACUGGACAGCAACUGACGCUGAGGCGCGAAAGCGUGGGGAGCAAACAGGAUUAGAUACC
rnacentral:rRNA from 1 species